rnacentral:lncRNA from 1 species
GGUGUCGCAGGCGCUCGCCCACGCGGUGCGCACCGGGGCGCCAGGUACAGCGUGGAAAGCCGGGCGAGCGUCUCAGCCCUCGCUAGCUGGACCUGGACCCCAGACCAGUGGGCAACGCUGCCAAAACCCGCAAAGUCGAGCGAGGGACAACGGAACACCGGAUUCAAGCGCGGCUCUACCUAAAAGUCCUGGAAGCUGGAGAAGGGGCGGCGAGCGCGCGUCAGUGCAAGCCUGGCUCUGCUCCCGACCGUCACUGCGACCGCGGGCGCAGGAAGGAUGUGAGUGGAGGCCGGGGCGAAGCCCGGUUCCCAGGCCUUCUGUGGCCCUCACUCAGAGCCCACGAUUCAGAGGGAAGGGUAACUCUCUGCCUUGCCACCCGUCCUGCGUUCCCGCCUCCACGGCUCCCAAGCUCACAAAACCGAGGACAGCUGACAUCCUGGAGAUGAGCGUAAAAGACAUCUGCAGCGCCUACACGGCCCGGUGACAGCUGGGGUCACUGCGUGGAGGAUGUGAGGGGGUCGCCUGCCUGUCCCAGCUGGAACCAGGAGCCGGCCCGCCUCCCGCCUUCGUGGUGCAUUUGCAGAAGUUUGACUCCAGUACCUCCUCCCACUCGAGAACCGGGUCUCUGGGCCCGAGCUGAACCUGGAGGUUGUGGCCGCGGUGAAGUGUGGCUUGUCUUACGACUGCAGGCUUGCACCAGAGAAUGCGUAUUUACAGUCGCACGGCGCAUUUGUUUGGUUUUAAACCAUAUGGUUCAGUAGCACCGCUUCCUAGCUCUGGCAUCCCUGACCCAGAUCGUUUCCCAAGCCCUUCUUCUAGUCGGGGAUAUACGGAUGGGGAUGUGUCCCCUCACACUCCAGGGUUGGCUUUGCUUUGCUUAGUGUUGGAGUCUGCAACUACCCUGGGAUAUAAUAUGGACCCCAAUAGGGGGCAACCAAGAAGGUGACAGUCACCAAGCUGUCUCGGUGCAGUAAGGUGAUUGGGGAGAAGUAUGGGAAGGGGGGG